rfam:Hordeum vulgare subsp. vulgare, WGS project CAJW01000000 data, contig: morex_contig_69469
CAAGAGGAUUCUUUCGAAUCUACCAUAGAGAUUGAUAUAGGAUUUA